GCUAUUUGGGGUUUUUGGGGUUAUAUGUACAUGGUAUUUUCACUGUAUAUAUCUGUUUUAUAUUUAAAGUAUAUUUUUUGCUAUAGCUUUGGCUGUUUGGUUUUUUUUUCCCCUCUCUGGGAAACAGGUUCUGUUGUCAAGUUCUGGAGACUUGGCGGGAAGCCAGCUUGAAACUUGCACACACAGCUUUAGUGGAAACUGUUAAGACUGUUAUCUCUUAAAGAUUUUUUCUUUUUUUCCCUUUGGAUGAUAUUUCAAAGAAAUACUCUAACUACUUGCCUUAAACCAAGUUUUGACUAAUACAGUGCAAUGCUGCAACAACCAUUUUGAUAGCAAGCAAACUAGCUGAAGAUUUCAUUAAUUCUAAACUUUUGACAUUCCUAUUUCAUGCAAAAGAGCCUUUUAGUAAACAGUACUGGCUAAGAAUUCUCCACAAACUCUUAAGUUCAUUUUUUUAAAGACUAUGUGAUUCUUUUCAUACAUGUUAUUAUAAAGUAUAACAAAAAGAUUUAAAAUAAAUCACCUUGUUAAUUGGUUCCACUUACUGGAUUUCAUAUCCUCAGUGUAAUGUUAAUGUUUUCAUCAACUAGAACUAUUGGAAUUUCAUGUUUGAAUCAACUUUGCUAUUAAGCCAAGUCAUUAUAAAUACAAAGAGAAAUGGUUCCCCUUGAGUAAGCAUACAACAGGAGGAUUAUGUGGAGAAAGUAAAAGGAGGUAAGUUACUAUGAGCUAAAAACAAGUGAUCCUGUUUAAAAUAUGUGUUCUAAAAUGAAGAAUUUGCUUAGUACGAUUACAUCCACGCUUUCAUCCAGAAUUAGAAGGAUGAUGUAGCAUUUAAAUAUUACUCAUCUUGAUUUUUUUUAGCAAUCUUAUCUCUUUUCUUUUUCUCAUGCAUUGACUACCCUCAUUUUAUUCUGUUUGGAAAGUCACAUGUAAAAGUCAUUAUACCAAAGAUUUGGCUAGUUUCCCCUUUUUUUUUUCACGGCAUAUAGUGAGCAAUAUUGUCUGAGACAAUACAUCCAUUUUGAGCUUUACUGACAACACAUUCUGGCUAAUGUGGACACAGAUUCACAUUCCCAAUUCAUCAGAAUAUCUAUAUUCCCCUCAAAAUUAAUGAAUUUUCCUAAGUUGAUUGCUCAUUCUUGCCAAGAUUGUUCUACCAUACGGUCACAUGUUUCUUCAAAGAUCUGACAGACAUAGCCCACCUUCUGUUUGACAAGAGAGAUGGAUAGAAGAAAGGGUAUGUAGUAAUCAUCUCCCAGAACAGCACCAACUCUACAUCUGCAUUGCUGUUUUCAUGACAAAGCCAUUGGAAAGCACCUUUCACCUUAAGAGUCUAGAACUGAAGAAGUGCAAGCAGAUGUGAGAAGCAGGUAACCUUUGUUAUUACAGCAGAUCCUCAAGACAGAGCUUAAUAAAAAAAAGAUAAAAAAUGAGUGGACAAGCAGGCAAACAACAAACCUACCCUUAUUUUCCCUUCAAAAAAGCCCUCCCCUACAUCAUCCACAUCCCAAAGACCUUGCAUACCUUGCAUACUGCAUACUUAUGUGGAAGGGAGGUUGAACAAUGAAAAUGCAGAACCAUUGUUGAGUGUUGAGGGUAACUUGGUGACCGCAGACACAGGUACCAGAUGUCUUCUUUGCAUCUUCACCAACAAGGUCUCAAGCCUCUGGGCUUAAGAGGCUGGAUUCAGGGAGGAUAAGAACUACCAGUACAAGGUGAGGAUCAAGUCAGGGUUUAACUGCAAGGAUUUGAUGCCACAAGUCCUUGGGACCUUGACAGACUUCAUCCAAGAUGCUGACAGAGAUGUCCUACAUCCUUCCAAAGCUGCUUUCUAUUGUGUUUGAGAGGUUGUGGAGUUCAGGAGAGGUCACCAGCAAUUGCGGGAAGGUAAAUAUCAAUCAACUCAUGAAGCUACAGGCUGGUUGCCUGACUUCGGUGCUGGAGCAAGUCCUCAUGGAGUUCAUUUCUGGGCACAGGUGGGAGAAGAUGAUGGGAAACAGACACCUUGAAUUUACUGAAUAGUAAAUUGUGCCUGACCAACCUGAUUACCUUCUGUCAUCAAAUGAUAAAAUUUUUGGGUCCAAGGAACACAGUUGCAAAGUGAUGUAGAGCAGUAAAUUGUUAUGAGGAGGAGAUGUUCAGUGUAAGAAAUGAGUACAAAAAGUCAGUGGAGGCACAUGGAUAUUUCUCAUAUGUCUUAGAGAAAGAAGCAUUAUUUUAAAUCUGUUUUUGCAAACAAAAAGACAUAGAAAAGGGUAGGACUUGCAUUUCUACAUGGGGGCAGUGGAGCAUGAAUUCUUUUUUGUUGCAUCUCCUUUUUCCCUCUGCUGCCCACAUAUUUCACAGAGGUAUAAAUCAUGCGAACACACAUGCACACCUGAUUUAGAUUUACAAGCACCUGGUAUGUGAGAAACUUUUUUGGGGGAAAAUCUGUAAGCUUCAUUGGAGCAAACUGGAAACAGAAAAAAAAAUCCACAACAAAAAACAGACAAGUCAUAAAUCUUCACAUUUAUAGGCACCUGUUUUGUAAAGAAACUUUUAUUUUUCUCCUGUCAUAAUCUGCAAUUAUUAAAAUAUUAAUUAUGCUAGAAUUUUGAAAUUUAAAAUUAGGUUUUAAAACUUAAAAUCAAUGGUUUAUAGCUCAGAAAUAGAUGGCGCUUUGAAAAGCUCCUCUAUAUUUCUUUUUUUCAACCCAGAGAACUUCUUAUUCUUAAAAGCAUAUUCAAAGCUUGGCCAUACCCAAGAAAGUAAACUAUAUAUUUGACCUUUGCAAAGCUCUAUUUAGGCAGUAGAAGCCCUUAAGUCCUUCUUAUGACACCAUCAGAACUUAACAAACUGCAGCCUAUCUCACACAAAAUUGGCAGCUGUUUAACAUCUUUUCAGUUCUUCUUUGCAACAAAGACUUUCUGACUCUUCAUAAAGGCUUCUUUUGCAGAUAAAAACAUAAUUUCUGAUUGAAAAUGCUGUUGCCGUCCUUAAAGCCAUUCAUAGAUUGAUGGUAUUCUUCGAAAGUCACAUUUCAACCAUUAGAACAGGCUGCCCAUGAAAGUGGUGAAGCCACCAUCGCUGAAGGUGUUUAAAAUACGUAUAGACAUGGAACUUAGGGAGGUGGUUUAGUGGUGGAGUUGGCAGUGCUGGGUUAAUGCUUGGCCUCAAUGAUCUUAAGAGUCUUUUCCAACUUUAAUGAUUCUACGAUUCUGUGAUUUAUCUGGGUUGUAUUUCAGCAGACUUCAAGUUAAAUAUGCCAACAGGAUUCCUAUCUCUCAGAAUUAUUGCAUUGUCUUUUUGAAGAAACUUUGCAUUUAUGCAUAAUGUAUGGGGACAGUCUUAUAGCCACAAGUCUGAAAGGGAAUGGAUCCUUGUAGAAUUCACUGGAACCAUUAAGAAAAAGUGAUUUAAAUGUUGCUGUUAACAUUCAGAAAUUCUUCUUUGUGCUCCUUUUGUCCUGCACAACAACUGUAAAUUUGCUAUUGUUUCAUGAAGAGUGGAUAGAAAGGGAUCAGGGAAGAAUCUCAAAGAUAUGCUAAAGAAAGCUCCAUUGUUUUGAGCACCUACUAGGGAUGUAAAAUAAUCAAAGUAAUGAAGAAAAUAUUAGUAUUACCUUUACUCAGAUUUAGAAGCCUGUGCUGUUUCUUUCACUUGAUGAUCAUCUCAAGCCCUUCUACAGUACUUUAAAACUUUGAGCAGAACAGCAGAUGAACUGGAAGGCAGUGAGUGAGAAUCACUGAUAACUUCAAGGUAUCGUUCAUUAUGGUUGUGGAUUGUGUUUCCACAGCAAGUAGACUAGACGCAUAGUUCCCAGAUCUGACAUCUUUCCCCUUCUUGAUCAGCGAGCAUUUUUAGGUAAAGGCUAAUGAAACUAAAAGGAAUGAACAAAACUGAUCCUAAUACUGAACUGUAUUUUGAGUCCUGACGACAAAAAGACUAAGGUGGUCUCUGGUACUGACAACUGCUUGCUUGGAAGACUUAAAUUGAGCAAGAGGGUUAGUAAGUCUUUUAAUCACAUAACUGUAGUAACCAAACUGAUAAAUGAAGAUUUUCUUCUAUUUAAAUCAAAAUUAAUUGGGUGAAUAUAAUAUAUAUCAUACUGCCAUCUGGUGUCAAAAGACUGAGAAACAGGACAAUUAAAACGUUUUCUGAAGAUGCAUCUCCUCAUGAAACAGCAUCACAUUUACAGACAGAGAGAAAUACAGGAGGUGAUGGGACCGAUGAAUAUUGCCAAGUUUUGACAAACUUUUUGUUUGUACCUGUAUUUGGUUUGCAUGGUCAGAUUUUGGUUGUAAGAGGAGAUAUAGGGAUGGCUUCUGUGAGAAGCUGCUAGAGGUUUCCCCAUGUCCAACAGAGCCAAUGCCAGCUGGCUCCAGGACAGACCCACCACUGGCCAAGGCCGAGACAAUGAGGAAUGACAGUAAUGCCUCUGGGAUAGCUUAUUUAAGAAGGAAAAAAAAAAGCUAUUGCACAGAGGUAAUUGUGACCAGAGAGGAGAGGAGUGAGAAUAUGUGAGAGGAACAACUAUGCAGACCCCAGGGUCAGUGGAGGAGGAGGAGGAGGUGAUGCAGGCUCAAGAGCUGAGGUUCUCCUGCAGCCCAUGGUGAAGACCAGGGUGAGCGGCUGUCCCCCUGUACCCCGUGGAGGUCAACAGAGGUGCAGAAAUCCACUUGCAGCCUGUGAAGAAGACACACACUGGAGCAAGUCGAUGCCUGAAAGAAGGCUGUGACCCCAUAGGAAGCCUGUGUUGGAGCAGGCUCCCGGCAUGGACAUGCGGAUAUGUGGAGAGAGGAGCCCACGAUUUUUGACAGGAACUGUGAUCCUGUGAGGGAUCCACUCUGAAGUAGCCUGUGCCUGAAGGACUGCACUCCGUGGGAGGGACCCCACACUGGAGCAGGGGAAGGACUCCUCUUUCUGAGCAGCAGCAGAAACAACCUGUAAUGAAGUGACUGUAAACUCAACUCCUUGUCUCCCUGCGCCUCUGGGGGAGAGGAGGUAGAGCCCAAAAAGAAGGAAGGGUGGGAAGAAGGUGUUUUUAAAAUUUGUUUUACUUCUCAUUAUCCUGCUUUGAUUUUGAUUGGCAAUAAAUUAAAUUAUUUUCCCAA